UCCAACAAAUUUGUCUGUCCCUCACAUUUUUAUUAAGCCAAAAAAAUUAAUAAAAAAACACUCCAAGUUUCAAAUAGUCCUUUCAUUGUCAUCUUCAAAGACCUACAUAAAAUCUUAGCAAUCAAUUCAUUCUCGAAGACAUGGCGGAAGUUCAAGCCUCAACUCUCAGUUUUUCUCAAAAUCAGAAAAAUCUCUCAAAUGCUCAUAAGAGAUACGGGUUACCUAAUUCCUAAGUGUUCUAUUACGAAUCAAAUUUUCUUAUUUCUAUGUGUUCUUGGUAUUUUCUUCAUAUUUUUUUCGUUCCUUUUACUGUAUUUAGUGUUGACACAUUUUCUAAUGGUCCCUAAAGCAGGUUUGUAAAUCUUAUGAAGGGACAUAUUCCGAUUGAAAGUGAAGCUCUUGGUAAGGGGUGAAUCUGCUAAAAAAAGACGUACCAGCUUUUGGAUUCUGAUGAUCACUCGCAUGUUUUUGAAGAAGAAUCGUCAGAACCCUUCUGAUUAUCGGGCUGAUAUUGCGCAUUAGGUAGAAUUGUUCUAAGUAGAUCGUCAUUCCAUUCUUCAUUCUCCUACUACCCCUGUUCAUCGUCCUGAAGUGGACUUGGAGUUGGCACUGAUGUACUGAUAGAUACCAUGCUCCAGUUCAUAAGUCAUAAAGUAAUCGAAAUAAUGGAGCACUUACAUUGAACUUGCACUCCAGAAGCUUCUCCCAAAUCCUAACAUAUGGAUUUUGGGAAACGUAACAACCAAAUUCUAACUUAUCAAUUGUUGUUAAAUAUUGCUGGUACUAGUAUUUAUAGGUACAUCAGUCUGGUGCGGCUGCUGCAAAUCAAGUAUUUGUUCUUGGGAUACAUAGGUGCAAAUAUUUAUUCUUUUUAUCUUCUAAUUCUCUGUUGAUACCAUGACAUUUUGGCACUGUAGUUACUGGAUAUUGAAACCGAAAUUGCAUCUUGGAUGUAACAACUAUAGUUGACGAAAUCUGUUGCAACCAAAAUUGCAUCAUGGAUCUUGUGUCUGUUGGUUAUAAAAUGGUUGUACAUAUUAUAGAAUAAGUUUACAGUAUAUACAGUAGAUUAUAGCGUGCACUGAACACAUCUGUUGCAUUUUACCAUUAUAAAUUAAUACUCUUAUAUAGCUGCAACAAUAUGCUAUAAUGCAGUUUUGAAAUUCCGAAAGAGCUGAGCUCUUUUAUAACUUCAUGUACUCAGAAAAUACAAGUUAUAAACUCAGAUUGCUUGAAUCCGCUUA